rnacentral:tRNA from 1 species
CACUAAAAAGCUAAAAACCGGACAAGCAUUGGCCUUUUAAGCCAAAUCUUGGUGAUUAACGACCACCUUUAGUGA